rnacentral:ncRNA from 1 species
UGAUGGUCUCUGCACGCAGAAAAUGCAGAGUUAAAAGGGAAAUCGGUGGAAGUCCGAUACAGUUGCCUCUGCUGUGAUGUUGACGAAGAAACAGUUGCCAUUGAACUUACAAGAAGUUUGAGAAGGCGUUUCCGAGGGUGAGACUAAGUCAGAAUAUCUGCCAUUAUUUUAAA